UCCUCUGAAAAGCCGAAUUGCGUGAGCAGUGCAAAAGGGGCUUUUGCUUCUGGAGUUGCGUUUCUGGUUGCACACGUGACAUUCGUGGCCAGCAAACAACACGUGUUUGUUCAGAUCUCUCUUCCACGGACUGUUCAGGAGCGUCUCCAGUUUUGCCUGAGGUCAUCCUCGGAGAACAGCCCUCUGUUUUUCCUGAUGAGGCUUAACCACGCCGCAAACGAGGACGCCAGCUUACUACUUCGACGAGGUGUUAUGAAACCGACUCUUUUGGAGGAUUACGCAGAAACAACAAUUUCAACCGCUCGAGAUCAAGCGGCUAUGAGCACUAUUUAGUUUCGGGACAAGGAGAAAUAUUCUCGGAGUUUUGUUGUUGGAAGACAAAGCAUCAGUUUUGAUCCAUGCUCCACACACACGCAUGCAUGCAUUCACAAAAACUCUUGCCAACUUGAGGUUGCUCAUUUGUCAAGUAUAUGUGGCUCAAAUUUGGUCAAAAUCUCGAACAAGAACCCUUAGGAGAUGACGAAAUAACAAACUUCCUGUGUGUUUUCCGACAUGGCUUCCUGAGAAUUUUUGGUGGGUCAGGUCAUAAUCGGACAUGUCUAGCAAAUUUCACGUCGCUAAAUAAAAGUGUCUUUGGGGGCUGCAUUUUUAACCAAUUUGAAAUGAACCAAAAUGACACGAAAAUGGCCACUUCAUACCAAAAUGGCAGACUUCCAGUGUCAUUAUGGUCAAAUCUUCUAAAGACUUUUUGGUGUGCUUACUCAUGACAUGCAAUAUGUUUACCAAGUUUCUUGUUGUCAAGUGAAACCGGCUGGGUGGGCUGAAUUUUGAAACAUUUCUGGGAGCCAAAUAGCAAAAAUGACCCUAAAACAGUCAGUUGGAUCUAAAAUGGGUCUUUUCAGACAGGACAUCUUCAGACUUUUUUUGCGGGUCUACUCAUGAUAGCCAGGCCUACCGUAUUUCAUGCUGUUCAGUCAAGCUGUUUUCAGAACCUGGAUUUUUAAUCAGAAUUCUAGAGGGUACCGCUGAUCCAAAAUGACCAAUUUGACCAAAAAUAGCUUUCUAUGUCUUCUCAGUAAUGCCUUUUGGAGAUUUUUUUUGGUUUGCCUACUCAUGAUAGACAAGUCUACCAAAUUUCAUGUUCCUGAGUGAACCUGGAUUCGGGGGGCUGAAAUUGUUUUGUUUUUUUAACUCCAAUGGAUGCUUGCAAGCUGGUUUUUAGUGAUCAGGCCUUCAAAAAUUCGCCAAAAGAAGCUGAAUUUCAUUUAUUUGGCCCACGAUUAAUCCUGAUGAAGAAAGACACCAAUUUUUGAGUUGCCUUCACUUUGCCCUAAGGAAAAAAAAGAAAAGAAAAAAAAAAAAGAUUCCAAUAAAAACCUGCAAAUCCAGCAACUUCUUAGCAGCCGUGUGCAAGCUUUGUGGGGAUUACAUCAUCAGAGGUUUGCGCAGUGGCGUCAAUGCGAGUUCUUCUCGAUUGGUGCUCAGGGGAAGGAGGAGUUGAUGAAGGAAGCUUGAGUGGAAGCACUUUCUCUCCUGUCUCACACUUUCUCCGAAAGCAUUUUGGAGUCGCUAUUUCUCCGCGAUAAACAUCUGGAGGAGAUUAGUUGAGGUACUGUCCGUGCAAAGUCGCAAAUUAUCAUUUUGCGAGUACACAUGGUCCUCGCGGCUCCAAAAGCCAAGAUACUUUUGAAGGACACAAAUGAGCCGGUUCAUGAAUUCCAUUGACGGCAGCCUCUUCUCAUUGUGAUAAUGACGUCGAAAUGUGAUUACAGUUGCUCUCUGCAUGACUCGGACAAAGAGUUGCCAUUUUUCGUAACUCUUCUGUAAAGAGCAGACUACUGGCAAAAACAUCAAGGUCAAAAAGGCAAAAAGGAGCUACAGUGUUGUUGGAUGCGCAAAUGAGCGUUAGGGCUGAUAUCCGGCACGUAAUCGCGCUUGAGAGGCUUUGAUGAAUGGUUGGGAUCAUUUAAACACCCGCCGAGUUUGAAGGGAAACACAUGGAAAGCGUCCACGCACAUGGAAUGCUCUGAAGCCGUUUCUCCAUUAUUCACCUAGCUUUCUAGCCAGCUUUUAUCUGUAUUCAGCCAGCUAUCAUUUUCAAUUUAGCGAGCUAGCUAGCUAGCUCUCUCUUUCUCUCUCUCUCGCUCUCUCUCAGAAACGAUAUUGAACUUGAGUGCAGUAAUGUUACUUAGCUAACGAUCUUUUUCAAUUUAGCGAGCUAGCAAGAUAGCUAGCUCUCUCUUUAUCUCUCUCUCUCUCUCUCUCUCUCUCUGAACGACAUUGAACUUGAGUGCAGUAAUGUUACUUAGUCCACGAUCUUUUUCAAUUUAGCGAGCUAGCAAGAUAGCUAGCGCUCUCUUUAUCUCUCUCUCUCUCUCUCUCUCUUUCUCUCUCUCAAACGAAUGUCGUACUUGAGUGCAGGAAUGUACAGUAUGUAGCCUAAGUAAGUCUUUGCGGUCUCCAGCCAUAAUGAUGACAUCGUUGACCACAUGCACACCCUUCAAGUGCGCCUAAAUGCGAGUGUCUCUGGAAAGGGCUCACUAUUACCACCCCCCCGCGAUCCUUUCAGCAGUGUUUUGGUGGCGUGUGCUGUCAGCUCGCAAAUGCACUCACUCGGCUCUCCAUCUCGGGGAGUCGCGCAGGGGGUAGCGUGGGGAGGGGGAAAUUUGCCAGAAGAGGUAAUGGCCAUUCAUGUAGCGUUAAAGCGAACCGACUGGGCAAACGCCUGAAAACCAGAAGCACUCUGCAGAGAGGGGGUGCAGCUUUUCAAUCAAAAAGUUGCUCUGGUGGUUUGGGUUUUAAGGCUAAUAGAUUACAAGAGGCCAGAUAAGCAGAAGAGA